rnacentral:rRNA from 1 species
AGAGUUUGAUCAUGGCUCAGAAUGAACGCUGGCGGCAUGGAUUAGGCAUGCAAGUCGAACGGAGAAGCGGAGCUUGCUCCGCGGAUCAGUGGCGAAAGGGUGAGUAACGCGUGAGCAACUUGCCCCCAAGUUCGGGAUAGCCUCGGGAAACCGUGAUUAAUACCGGAUGUGGUUCUCCUUCCGCAUGGUUGGAGUCACCAAAGAUUUAUUGCUUGGGGAUGGGCUCGCGUCCGAUUAGCUUGUUGGUGAGGUAACGGCUCACCAAGGCUAUGACAGGUAGCUGGUCUGAGAGGAUGGUCAGCCACACUGGGACUGAGACACUGCCCAGACUCCUGCGGGAGGCUGCAGUCGAGAAUCAUCCGCAAUGGGCGAAAGCCUGACGGUGCAAUGCCGCGUGAGGGAUGACGGCCUUCGGGUUGUAAACCUCUGUCACCCGGGACGAAGAAGUGACGGUACCGGGAGAGGAAGCCACGGCUAACUACGUGCCAGCAGCCGCGGUAAGACGUAGGUGGCGAGCGUUAUUCGGAUUUACUGGGCGUAAAGGGUCCGCAGGGGGCUUGUCAAGUCUGAUGUGAAAUCCCGAGGCUCAACUUCGGAACUGCAUUGGAUACUGGCGAGCUAGAGUCUGCAAGGGGUAAGCGGAAUUCCAGGUGUAGCGGUGGAAUGCGUAGAUAUCUGGAAGAACACCGAUGGCGAAGGCGGCUUACUGGUGCAGUACUGACCCUCAUGGACGAAAGCGUGGGUAGCGAACAGGAUUAGAUACCCUGGUAGUCCACGCUGUAAACGUUGUGCACUAGAUGUGGGGGGAUCUGAUCCCUUCCGUGUCCAAGCUAACGCGUUAAGUGCACCGCCUGGGGACUACGGUCGCAAGACUAAAACUCAAAGGAAUUGACGGGGGCCCGCACAAGCGGUGGAGCAUGUGGCUCAAUUCGAGGCAACGCGAAGAACCUUACCUGGGUUUGACAUGUACCGGACCGGCCGUGAAAGCGGUCUUCCCUUCGGGGUCUGUACACAGAUGCUGCAUGGCUGUCGUCAGCUCGUGUCGUGAGAUGUUCGGUUAAGUCCGGCAACGAGCGCAACCCGUGUCACUAGUUGCCAGCACGUUAUGGUGGGGACUCUAGUGAGACUGCCCGUGUCAAGCGGGAGGAAGGCGCGGAUGACGUCAAGUCAGUAUGGCUCUUACGUCCAGGGCUGCACACGUGCUACAAUGGGCGGUACAAUGAGAAGCGAGAUCGCGAGAUGGAGCAAAUCUCAAAAACCGUCCCCAGUUCGGAUCGGAGUCUGCAACUCGACUCCGUGAAGUCGGAAUCGCUAGUAAAGGUGCAUCAGCAACGGCACCUUGAAUACGUUCCCGGGCCUUGUACACACCGCCCGUCACAUCAUGGAAGCUGGCUGCACCCGAAGUCCACGACCUAACCCUCGGGAAGGAGUGGCCGAAGGUGUGUCCAGUAACUGGGAUGAAGUCGUAACAAGGUA